rnacentral:lncRNA from 1 species
UGGGACAGAGAAGGAAAGCCAGGAAGAAGAGACAGCAUGAGCAAAAGCAUGAAGAUCAGAAUUCAAAGAGGAUGCUGCUAAGAAACUACAGACAGAGUCUUGCUAUGUUGCCCAGUCUGGUCUCAAACUCCUGGCCUGAAGCAAUCCUACCUUGACCUCCCAAAGUGCUGGGAUUACAGGUAUUAGCCACCACACCCAACCCAUGCUCUUAACCAGUGUUUGAUCCUGCCUUCUCUGGGGAGUAGGAAGUUUCUAAGUAGGGCCAUGCAUAGGGUGAGGCAGGCUGAAGCACUUGCCUGGGUGCAGAAUUGCAAGCGGCUGCAAAAACACACAAAUAAACACAAACCAAUUUGGUAGGCCAGCCCCAGUCAGCCUUUUAAGUCUGCAGUGAAGCUUCCCUAACCUCCUCUCACACCACAGGGCUUGGUCAGCCUGGGCCAUUCAACAUACCCAUCUUAAACUCAUCAGUGGUCCUCAAACAUGAGUUCCAGAAUCGCCUGCAGUUCUUGCCCCAACCCAAGAAAUUAGGAUUUGGUCGGCCCAGGGUGGUUUUUGUACCACUCCCAUCUGCAGCUGGCCUCCUGCCAUUGACCCUCUGCCUGGCUGCUCAACUGAGAUGGAGAGCCAAAACUGGACCAGGAAUGAGCAGAGGGAUGGUCAGCCUGAGAGCACAGCCACUUGGCCAGAAGAGCAGAGAGGGGGCGAGGAGGGAUGAGAAAUCAAGGACAGGCUUCUGGGGCAGCACAACCAGGCCAGCUCUGUCCAUAGAGAAGGGUAG